rnacentral:lncRNA from 1 species
AUUCUUAAAGAAAUUCCAACCAAGAAUUUCAUAACCCACCAAACUAAACUUCUUAAGUGAAGGAGAACUAGACUCUUUUCUAGACAAGCAAGCACUAAGGGAAUUUGUUACCAUCAGACCAGCCUUAGAUCCUUAAGGGAGUUCUAACACAGAAACAAAGAACAAUACCUGCUACCACAAAAAACAACAUAAAUAUAUAGCCCACAGACCCUGUAAAGCAGCCACUGAAUAAAAAAGACAGACUCUGUCCCGUCAUGAAGCUUACAGUCAAACUACCCACCACAGGCAAUUACUGUUACAAAAGAAGGGUGUACCAAAGGCUGGGGGGCAUCCUGGAGGGAACAGCUGUGGUGGAAAGUAGUAAAACUGUGUAAGGACCUUAAGUAACCAAGAUAAUUUUGAAAAAGAAUAACAGAGUUUGAAGAUUUACACUCCUGAGUUUCA